rnacentral:rRNA from 1 species
UACGUAGGUGGCAAGCGAUACUCGGAAUCACUAGGCGUAAAGCGCAGGUAGGCGGUUGGAUAAGUUUUUUGUGAAAGCUCCCGGCUUAACUGGGAGAGGCCAAGAAAUACUGUCUGACUAGAGUGUGGUAGGGGAAAUUGGAAUUCCUGGUGUAGCGGUGAAAUGCGUAGAUAUCAGGAGGAAUACCUAUGGCGAAAGCAAGUUUCUGGGCCAUCACUGACGCUGAGCUGCGAAAGCUAGGGGAGCAAACAGGAUUAGAUACCCUGGUAGUCCUAGCCCUAAACGAUGUUCAUUAGAUGUGGGAGGUAUCGACCCCUUCCGCGUCGGCGCUAACGCAUUAAAUGAACCGCCUGGGGAGUACGGCCGCAAGGUUGAA